CGCUUGCCCUCAUUUCAGGCUGAGAUCCAGAGCAGUCCAACUACCCGGCGUUUAACGCCGGCCCAGACUUCCAGGGCAAGGUCUGUGGCUUGGCAUGAGGUGCCGCAGCUCCGGAGGCUGGGGCGAAAGGCCUUUUGGCACGCAGCGAGGUCUCGUGCCUAAUUGAAUAGUCACAGGGUCUAGGGCCAGAAGGGCUCAUUAAGGCUCCAUUCUGACCCCGUGGAUUGCCGUCCUCUCCAUUCCCCCGGAUUGAGUCCAGCAGCUUACAUAUACAGAAACAAAAGUAGAAAAGGGAUGAGUGACUUGCCCAAGGUCAUACAGUGAAUCAGAAGUGCUUCCAGGAUGUCCUGAUAGGCACUUCUGUAGACUAAGGAAAGAGCAUCAGGUGGUAAACACAUGCUUGAAUUUCUGUUACCAAAGCAGGUCUCAAUCAAAUGGACUGGGCACCCAAGCCUGGGAUAUCUUCUUUACCCAGGAAUCAGAUUUUGGACCUCCUGCCAAUGUCUUGGCAAACUAACUGUGGCAUUAACAACGAGGCUUUGGAUUUCCAGCCUAGGGAAGCCAUUGCACAGGUUCAUAGACAACUGUCCAAACAUAAAUGACGAUGAGCAUGAAAAGAGUGUGAAAAAUUGAAUAUACACUGGAGAGACAGCACUUAAUUCAUUUAGUAACUUCAGCAUUGACUGCUUUAGCUCUAUGAGUAAAUCCAUUAAAUCACAGCUGAGAUGUAUCAGGUUUUGCUCUAAGAAUUGGAAUAAAGAUAUAUAAGACCACAGCAAACCAGAAGAUUAAAAAGUAGUACUGCAUAAGUCAACUGCUAGUUGCUGACAUCAAUAAAAUAUUGUCCUUUAUUAUAGUCAUUAGGGAACCUUUUAACAGUCAUUAAAAUUUCUUAAUGCUGUAGUAAAAUUUUUAGCUGUUACCUGGAAAAAAGAAGGUACUCUGAACUAUAUGGCAUGAAAAUAUUUCAAACAAAUGCUGUCAUAUGAUGGAGGCAUUAACAUCUGCUUCUUAGAGCUGAUGGGCUGUUUUUGGAAGACA